UAAGACGAACCGAGCGAACGUUAUUCGGAAUCACUGGGCUUAAAGGGUGCGUAGGCGGGCUCGUGAGUCAGGGGUGAAAUCCCACGGCCCAACCGUGGAAGUGCCUCUGAUACCGCGGGCCUAGAGGGGGACAGGGGCAUGCGGAACUUCCGGUGGAGCGGUGAAAUGCGUAGAUAUCGGAAGGAACACCGGUGGCGAAAGCGGCGUGCUGGAUCCCUACUGACGCUGAGGCACGAAAGCCAGGGGAGCAAACGGGAUUAGAUACCCCGGUAGUCCUGGCCCUAAACGAUGGGUACUAGGUAGUGGACUGACAUGGGUUCACUGCCGAAGCAAAAGUGAUAAGUACCCCGCCUGGGGAGUAUGGUCGCAAGGCUG
rnacentral:rRNA from 1 species